GUUACUUGCCGGCUCCACCGCAAGGUAUAUUUCUUCUCCUUCAAACCCACCGUGCAAGGUACGCAGCCAUACAGUCAAGAGUGACACUUUUGUGUGUAUGGAGUGUGAGUACCAGGAAGAUCUCAACACCAACACGUAUCAUACCUGGAACUCACUUACAACGGUUUGAGCGCAAGCAAAACAUAAAGCUCGCCUUACGUCUCUCACUGGCCCACAGAUGUCGCAUUGUGGAAGAGUUGCCAACCAGCUAGAACCAACUGAUUUCGGCUAUUUUUUCGUGUUCGGUCGUAUCGUAAUUAAAAAUCUCAGCUAUCGAUCCGAACUGAUUAGUCCGUCCGUAACCGCAUCGGGAGUAGUAGUGCGCGUCGGAUUACUCUCUUUUAUUAAUUUUUGUGGUCAGAACAAAAACUUAAACGUGCUAGUCAGCAAAAACGUAGUGUUCAAAAAGUUAUUGUUAAGCUACAAAUACGAUCUAUUGUAUGUUAAAACAACCACGUGAUUAAAACCAACAGCCUUUGUGAUAAAUAAUAGAGAAAAAGGUCCUAUACGCGGGCCUUUUUCUUUUUCGUUGCAUCGCUUGGCGGAGCAAGCGGUAUCCGUAUCUUUCGCAGGACGCAACCGGCCCAGCCCUUUUCCCGUUCAAGCGCACGGAUUGAAGGAACGUUAAUUUCCCGAGGACGGACAGAUUGUGGGAAAGGCCCUGCACGAACGACGGCCACUAUCCGGUGCACAAAACCGGCCAUUUUGGAUACGGAACGCGCCUACAUCUGGCGUGGGCCAUUGUCGUCCGUCGUCAGUGUCGGCCAUUGUCUUCUGGCCAUUAUCAGCGCCUGUGAUUUUGGAACCGCCAUUGCUUCGUUCCAUCGCUCCAGCCAGGACAGCGAGCGAUACGCUCCGAGGUUAGCCCAGCUAUUUCCGGAGACUGUCCAGUGCGACCGAAAGUCAAGCGAUUCCUUCCGGUCCCCUCCAGGACCCGCCUACACCGAACAAUAUUCAGCAGCCAAGAUCAAGCCAUUUCCGGAGACCCUCCGGUACAGAAGCGUACCCAGCAUCUUCUCCAAGCACUGGGAGAGUCAACCAGCUCGGUUCACGGUGUGACAGCACCCCUAUGUCCCGUGGAACUGGACCGUUCGCGUCGUAGCAGCUCCAAGUUAGCCUGGCCAGCCUGCUAGACCCCGAAGCAUCGCCCGGUACCACCGCCGGCCCCCAGAUGUCCACCAUACCACCGCAUCGCCAACCACCACCGCUCUAAAACCGCAAGUACCCUACCCCAAUGUUGUGACGUCACAUUACAGCCGAUUUGGCUAAUAAAAUAGCAUGCUAAAUUGAAAAUUAAGGUGUUAGGAGCUAAAUUAUUGAAGCACUGAGCCCUGAUAAGACUUUUCCGCCGCUUUUGUUUUUCCUCUCGUUUCGGACUCGCAAAGGAGUCGCCAAGCCUCGCCCAAUGUGGUUGAGAUGGAUUAAUUAGUUCGAUUAGCUUUUGAGCCCCCCUAGAUACGACACUGUUUGUCGGUUGUUCCACUGUGUUGCACAAAAGGGCACGUGUCGCGCAACACACGUGCGUGUGUAGCUCCUGUUGUAGGUGAGUACCACCGUGAGAGUGUGGGUGUUGAGUAAUUAAGGUAAACGACCCUAUAAUUGUCUCCUUUCCCUAGCCUCGGUGAGCUAGUGGGUAACAAU